rnacentral:lncRNA from 1 species
GGGAGCUGCCUGGUUGUCCCUUACCUUGCAGGUGUCCCCUCUCAAGAUUGUCUUGGCAGAAGUACAGUUGGUACUGGGGCACCUGGAUCCAAGAGGAAGAAACCUACAUGAAUACCAGAUCCACGAACAGGAAAUCUACAAGUCCGUUCCUAAGCCCCAAGGGUUGGGUCUGGGGAGCCCCUGGAGAGCCCCACCUGCUUCUCCAGUCACCAGACACCUGUUCAAGACCAGCACAGGUUUGGGGCUCAGAGGUGGGGAUGCAUAAUUUGUGAGACCCCAGACCCUUUGCGGUGUUGCAGUUUUCAAA